GACGAACGCUGGCGGCGUGCUUAACACAUGCAAGUCGAACGGAAAGGCCCUGCUUUUGUGGGGUGCUCGAGUGGCGAACGGGUGAGUAACACGUGAGUAACCUGCCCUUGACCUUGGGAUAACUUCAGGAAACUGGGGCUAAUACCGGAUAGGAGCUCCUGCUGCAUGGUGGGGGUUGGAAAGUUUCGGCGGUUGGGGAUGGACUCGCGGCUUAUCAGCUUGUUGGUGGGGUAGUGGCUUACCAAGGCUUUGACGGGUAGCCGGCCUGGGAGGGUGACCGGCCACAUUGGGACUGAGAUACGGCCCAGACUCCUACGGGAGGCAGCAGUGGGGAAUAUUGCACAAUGGGCGGAAGCCUGAUGCAGCAACGCCGCGUGCGGGAUGACGGCCUUCGGGUUGUAAACCGCUUUCGCCUGUGACGAAGCGUGAGUGACGGUAAUAGGUAAAGAAGCACCGGCUAACUACGUG
rnacentral:rRNA from 1 species